GUGGGGAAUAUUGGACAAUGGGCGAAAGCCUGAUCCAGCCAUGCCGCGUGUGUGAAGAAGGUCUUCGGAUUGUAAAGCACUUUAAGUUGGGAGGAAGGGCAGUAAGCUAAUACCUUGCUGUUUUGACGUUACCGACAGAAUAAGCACCGGCUAACUUCGUGCCAGCAGCCGCGGUAAUACGAAGGGUGCAAGCGUUAAUCGGAAUUACUGGGCGUAAAGCGCGCGUAGGUGGUUCAGCAAGUUGGAGGUGAAAUCCCCGGGCUCAACCUGGGAACUGCCUCCAAAAAUACUGAGCUAGAGUACGGUAGAGGGUAGUGGAAUUUCCUGUGUAGCGGUGAAAUGCGUAGAUAUAGGAAGGAACACCAGUGGCGAAGGCGACUACCUGGACUGAUACUGACACUGAGGUGCGAAAGCGUGGGGAGCAAACAGGAUUAGAUACCCGGGUAGUCC
rnacentral:rRNA from 1 species